CCUACGGGGCGCAGCAGUGAGGAAUAUUGGUCAAUGGACGAGAGUCUGAACCAGCCAAGUAGCGUGAAGGAUGACUGCCCUAUGGGUUGUAAACUUCUUUUAUAUGGGAAUAAAAUGUUCCACGUGUGGGAUUUUGUAUGUACCAUAUGAAUAAGGAUCGGCUAACCCCGUGCCAGCAGCCGCGGUAAUACGGAGGAUCCGAGCGUUAUCCGGAUUUAUUGGGUUUAAAGGGAGCGUAGGUGGAUUGUUAAGUCAGUUGUGAAAGUUUGCGGCUCAACCGUAAAAUUGCAGUUGAAACUGGCAGUCGUGAGUACAGUAGAGGUGGGCGGAAUUCGUGGUGUAGCGGUGAAAUGCUUAGAUAUCACGAAGAACUCCGAUUGCGAAGGCAGCUCACUGGACUGCAACUGACACUGAGGCUCGAAAGUGUGGGUAUCAAACAGGAUUAGAUACCCCUGUAGUC
rnacentral:rRNA from 1 species